rnacentral:rRNA from 1 species
UACGUAGGGGGCAAGCGUUGUCCGGAUUUAUUGGGCGUAAAGAGCGUGUAGGCGGCUUUACAGGUCCGUUGUGAAAACUCGAGGCUCAACCUCGAGACGCCGGUGGAAACCGUAAAGCUAGAGUCCGGAAGAGGAGAGUGGAAUUCCUGGUGUAGCGGUGAAAUGCGCAGAUAUCAGGGAAGAACACCCGUGGCGAAGGCGGCUCUCUGGGACGGUACUGACGCUGAGACGCGAAAGCGUGGGGAGCAAACAGG